rnacentral:pre_miRNA from 1 species
GGCUAGGGUCCUGAUCCAACACUCAAUGAAGUCAAUGGAAGUCUUUCCAUUGGCUUCAGUGGAUGUUGGAUCAGGACCUAGGUUC